UACGUAGGGGGCAAGCGUUGUCCGGAUUUAUUGGGCGUAAAGAGCGUGUAGGCGGCCAUGUAGGUCCGUUGUGAAAACUCGAGGCUCAACCUCGAGACGCCGAUGGAAACCAUGUGGCUAGAGUCCGGAAGAGGAGAGUGGAAUUCCUGGUGUAGCGGUGAAAUGCGCAGAUAUCAGGAAGAACACCGAUGGCGAAGGCAGCUCGCUGGGACGGUACUGACGCUGAGGCGCGAAAGCGUGGGGAGCAAACAGG
rnacentral:rRNA from 1 species